UCAACCCUCAAGCCCGGCUUGCUGUUGGGUCCCGCCGUUGCAACGACGGCGGACCCCAAAGAUAAUGGCAGAGUCCGCGGGGACCUGGAUGCAGCGAGCUUCACGGCACGCGUCUGGACCUUCGCCGGGCUCGGUCUUAACCAAUCUUCUCU
rnacentral:misc_RNA from 1 species